rnacentral:rRNA from 1 species
AGUGAACGCUGGCGGUAGGCCUAACACAUGCAAGUCGAACGGCAGCACAGUAAGAGCUUGCUCUUACGGGUGGCGAGUGGCGGACGGGUGAGGAAUACAUCGGAAUCUACUUUUUCGUGGGGGAUAACGUAGGGAAACUUACGCUAAUACCGCAUACGACCUACGGGUGAAAGCAGGGGAUCUUCGGACCUUGCGCGAUUGAAUGGGCCGAUGUCGGAUUAGCUAGUUGGCGGGGUAAAGGCCCACCAAGGCGACGAUCCGUAGCUGGUCUGAGAGGAUGAUCAGCCACACUUGAACUGAGACACGGUCCAGACUCCUACGGGAGGCAGCAGUGGGGAAUAUUGGACAAUGGGCGCAAGCCUGAUCCAGCCAUACCGCGUGGGUGAAGAAGGCCUUCGGGUUGGAAAGCCCUUUUGUUGGGAAAGAAAAGCAGCAGGUUAAUACCCCGCUGUUCUGACGGUACCCAAAGAAUAAGCACCGGCUAACUUCGUG